rnacentral:rRNA from 1 species
UGGGGAAUCUUGCACAAUGGGCGCAAGCCUGAUGCAGCCAUGCCGCGUGAGUGAUGAAGGCCCUAGGGUUGUAAAGCUCUUUCAGUGGGGAAGAUAAUGACGGUACCCACAGAAGAAGCCCCGGCUAACUCCGUGCCAGCAGCCGCGGUAAUACGGAGGGUGCGAGCGUUAAUCGGAAUUACUGGGCGUAAAGCGCGCGUAGGCGGCUUGGUCAGUCGGAUGUGAAAGCCCCGGGCUUAACCUGGGAAUUGCAUUCGAUACUGCCGAGCUAGAGUAUGGUAGAGGGAAGUGGAAUUUCCGGUGUAGCGGUGAAAUGCGUAGAUAUCGGAAGGAACACCAGUGGCGAAGGCGACUUCCUGGGCCAAUACUGACGCUGAGGUGCGAAAGCGUGGGGAGCAAACAGGAUUAGAUACCCCCGUAGUCC